rnacentral:rRNA from 1 species
AUUGAACGCUGGCGGCAGGCCUAACACAUGCAAGUCGAACGGUAACAGGGAUCAGCUUGCUGAUUCGCUGACGAGUGGCGGACGGGUGAGUAAUGUCUGGGAAACUGCCUGAUGGAGGGGGAUAACUACUGGAAACGGUAGCUAAUACCGCAUAACGUCGCAAGACCAAAGAGGGGGACCUUCGGGCCUCUUGCCAUCGGAUGUACCCAGAUGGGAUUAGCUAGUAGGUGGGGUAACGGCUCACCUAGGCGACGAUCCCUAGCUGGUCUGAGAGGAUGACCAGCCACACUGGAACUGAGACACGGUCCAGACUCCUACGGGAGGCAGCAGUGGGGAAUAUUGCACAAUGGGCGCAAGCCUGAUGCAGCCAUGCCGCGUGUAUGAAGAAGGCCUUCGGGUUGUAAAGUACUUUCAGCGGGGAGGAAGGGAGUAAAGUUAAUACCUUUGCUCAUUGACGUUACCCGCAGAAGAAGCACCGGCUAACUCCGUG